rnacentral:tRNA from 1 species
GGCCACGUCGCCAAGUAGUAAGGCAAAGGUCUGCAAAACCUUUAUACGCGGGUGCGAUUCCCGCCGUGGCCUCAA